GAAGGUUGCAAGCGUUACUCGGAAUUACUAGGGCGUAAAGGGCAGGUAGGUGGUUUGGUAAGUCUGUCGUGAAAGCUCCUGGCUUAACUGGGAGAGGUCGAUAGAUACUGCCGGACUUGAGUAUAGGAGAGGUUACUGGAAUUCCCGGUGUAGCGGUGAAAUGCGCAGAGAUCGGGAGGAACACCAAUGGCGAAAGCAGGUAACUGGACUAUUACUGACGCUAAGCUGCGAAAGCUAGGGGAGCAAACAGGAUUAGAUACCCUGGUAGUCCUAGCCGUAAACGAUGCACAUUAGACGUGAGGGGUAUCGACCCCCUUCGUGUCGACGCUAACGCAUUAAAUGUGCCGCCUGGGGAGUACGGCCGCAAGGUUG
rnacentral:rRNA from 1 species